CUUGACGUCCUUGACUCAUGAAGUGUCAGCCCUGAAAUCAAAUUACGCUUUGUGAAAAUGCAAAUAUCUUUGCUGCAAACCAGCUUACUAGAAUACAAUUUAUGGUCUGUUGCACCUCAUUGCUGCAAAUUAGUUUACUAGGGAACACUUGUAUGCUCCUGUGUUUCUCUGUUAAACUAAACGUGAUCUUCCUUUCCUACCUUAAGGUGCAAAAAUGUGGAAUACUUCUUUGGAAUUAUCAUAUGGAAUACUUAUGGUUUGCAUGGAUAUAUAGCAAAGAUGAUCAACAAAUUUAAAGUGUCUUGUCAUGCAGUGAUGCUUUUGAUCCGGAUGAUGGGGAAUACCGCAGCAGGAGUAACAACCUAAAAGUACUGUUUUUGCUUUUAUGCACCAUCACACAAGAUGUUGAUAAAAAGGAAGACAUCAAAAAGGGUCUUGUGAGGUACAAAUGACACAUGACCAGUCCAGUGACGGCUAGCGCCAGGGUGGUGCGACUUUUACCGGUCCUGCAGUAGUAUACUAUGGCUGUCUUGUUGCGUUCAUACUCCUCACUGAAGCCGUGUUUCCGUAUCACAGUCAUCAAAUCAUCAAAGUCCUGAAGGGUAGGACAAACCUGCUCUGUGGGCGUGGUGUCGUACUGAAGAGGCACUCGGUAGUACUGCAUGUCGAGGGUCUGUAGCUUCUGAGUGUCGGCCAACUCAGACGGAGUCAGCACGCUGCUAAACUCCUGCUCAACAGGCUCGGCAGAUAGCUCGUUGUAUGUCUGGAAAACAACACAUUAAAUACACUAGCUUGUUUUAUGUCUGGAAAACAACACAUUAAAUACACUAGCUUGUUUUAUGUCUGGAAAACAACACAUCUAAUAAACUAGCUUGUUGUAUGUCUGGAGAGCUAUACAAAUAAAUUAUAGUUUGUAUUAUGUCUAACAAUAAAUCAUCAUUACAUGUA